UGAUCAUGGCUCAGAUUGAACGCUGGCGGCAGGCCUAACACAUGCAAGUCGAGCGGAUGAAGGGAGCUUGCUCUCUGAUUCAGCGGCGGACGGGUGAGUAAUGCCUAGGAAUCUGCCUGAUAGUGGGGGACAACGUUUCGAAAGGAACGCUAAUACCGCAUACGUCCUACGGGAGAAAGCAGGGGACCUUCGGGCCUUGCGCUAUCAGAUGAGCCUAGGUCGGAUUAGCUAGUUGGUGAGGUAACGGCUCACCAAGGCGACGAUCCGUAACUGGUCUGAGAGGAUGAUCAGUCACACUGGAACUGAGACACGGUCCAGACUCCUACGGGAGGCAGCAGUGGGGAAUAUUGGACAAUGGGCGAAAGCCUGAUCCAGCCAUGCCGCGUGUGUGAAGAAGGUCUUCGGAUUGUAAAGCACUUUAAGUUGGGAGGAAGGGCAUUAACCUAAUACGUUAGUGUUUUGACGUUACCGACAGAAUAAGCACCGGCUAACUUCGUGCCAGCAGCCGCGGUAAUACGAAGGGUGCAAGCGUUAAUCGGAAUUACUGGGCGUAAAGCGCGCGUAGGUGGUUUGUUAAGUUGAAUGUGAAAGCCCCGGGCUCAACCUGGGAACUGCAUCCAAAACUGGCAAGCUAGAGUAUGGCAGAGGGUGGUGGAAUUUCCUGUGUAGCGGUGAAAUGCGUAGAUAUAGGAAGGAACACCAGUGGCGAAGGCGACCACCUGGGCUAAUACUGACACUGAGGUGCGAAAGCGAGGGGAGCAAACAGGAUUAGAUACCCUGGUAGUCCACGCCGUAAACGAUGUCGACUAGCCGUUGGGAUCCUUGAGAUCUUAGUGGCGCAGCUAACGCAUUAAGUCGACCGCCUGGGGAGUACGGCCGCAAGGUUAAAACUCAAAUGAAUUGACGGGGGCCCGCACAAGCGGUGGAGCAUGUGGUUUAAUUCGAAGCAACGCGAAGAACCUUACCAGGCCUUGACAUGCAGAGAACUUUCCAGAGAUGGAUUGGUGCCUUCGGGAACUCUGACACAGGUGCUGCAUGGCUGUCGUCAGCUCGUGUCGUGAGAUGUUGGGUUAAGUCCCGUAACGAGCGCAACCCUUGUCCUUAGUUACCAGCACGUUAAGGUGGGCACUCUAAGGAGACUGCCGGUGACAAACCGGAGGAAGGUGGGGAUGACGUCAAGUCAUCAUGGCCCUUACGGCCUGGGCUACACACGUGCUACAAUGGUCGGUACAAAGGGUUGCCAAGCCGCGAGGUGGAGCUAAUCCCAUAAAACCGAUCGUAGUCCGGAUCGCAGUCUGCAACUCGACUGCGUGAAGUCGGAAUCGCUAGUAAUCGUGAAUCAGAAUGUCACGGUGAAUACGUUCCCGGGCCUUGUACACACCGCCCGUCACACCAUGGGAGUGGGUUGCUCCAGAAGUAGCUAGUCUAACCUUCGGGGGGACGGUUACCACGGAGUGAUUCAUGACUGGGGUGAAGUCGUAACAAGGUA
rnacentral:rRNA from 1 species